AAAUGAGCAGAAUGAACUGGUCAAUGGAUUUCUAUAUAUGAAGGAAUAAACAAUAAUAAAAAUUUGACUGGGUAUGCGCUGCGCGUCUUUUGGUUUCGCUGUCUACCAAAUAUUGUGCUAUGGCUACAAGGCAUUAUUUGAACUAUUUAUAUAUAUUUGCUCUGUCGUAUAUACAUAUGUACAAUAUAUAAACUGGGUUGGAAUUGAAAUAAAUGCGCAGCGAGCUUUAAACUGUCGGCGGCGAUUGCUAAGAGCGCAACAAACUAAGCAAAAACUGUUGGAAUUGUACUGCAAAUCGAAUUGCUUAUGGCCAAGUUGCAGAUUGUAGCUGUUGUGCA